CCUAGCUCCUCUCUCCCCCGCACACUGCUCCUCCCUCCAGCGGAGCUCCCUGCCGUCCAUGGCCUCCCCCAUACCCUCCUCCCCUCUCCCCUCCCCGCCAUCCACGGCUUCCCCCAUGCCCUCCACCUCUCUCCGCCUCGACACCUCCCGAUUUGAAUCCGCAGCCCCACAGAAAUACAGAGAUAGAGGGGAACCAAAUCCUGGAGGCGGGCGGAGCUCUUCUGCUUCCAUGGCCAACGACCACUACAACUCUUCCUCCGCCUCCGCGCCGUCGCCGGCGGCGGCGGCGACCGAGGCCGCGGCAGUGGUGGGCUCCUCGGUGAUCCCUAUCAUCAACAAGCUGCAGGACAUCUUCGCGCAGCUGGGGAGCAGCUCCACCAUCGACCUAUCGUAGGUGGCCGUCGCCGGCAGCCAGAGCAGCGGCAAGUCGAGCGUCCUCGAGGCGCUCGUUGGCCGCGACUUCCUCCCACGCGGCUCCGACAUCUGCACGCGCCGCCCGCUCAUGCUCCAGCUCGUGCACCAGCUGCGCCGCCCCGCCGACGCCAAGAGGGAUGAGUGGGCCGAGUUCCUGCACCACCCCGGCUGCCGCUUCUAUGAGUUCCCCGACAUCCGACGCGAGAUCCAGGUGCUGGAGCAGUUGAGAGGACAGUGACCGGUGUUCUCCAAGGGUGAGUGUCUUAAAUCCGACAUGGUCCUGGUGGACAUGUCAAUUGUGGUCAAUAUUGGUGGUCCUAAUAGGAACGAUAUUGUGUUAUUGCAGCGAGGUACACUGUCAGGUCGUUCGGUAUCAGGCUAUGUUUAUAAAGCGGUAAAGCGAAGCGAGGCGACGCUUUACACAGACUCUGAACCUGAUGGGCAGUAUAAUAGAGCACCAUUUAGUGAGACAUAUAUAUGUUGAUUCUAAUCCACCAGUGAGCCCAUAUAUUCUGAUCCAUCCACUAAGCAGUAAGCAACUAGCCAAUUGCUAUAAGAGAGGCAGUAGCACCUAACAGCAGAGGAGUUGUGCAUAGCAUAACACACAACAGAGCAGAAAAGGCUGGUGCAGAUCUGAGGAAGCUGCUGCCAGAGGAGAGAGGAAAGAGCUGAAAGCCUGGAUAUUUGCACGCUCUGGUUUUGGUUCUCUCUCUUUCUUUCCCCUCCUGUAACUGUUUCACAUGUGAGCCCAGCCCUGUUUCCCUGCCAGGAAUCUCUGUACCCUGCCUGGCAAGUCUAAGGCGUCCUCUCUGCCUUAAAGCGCCAAUCAGGACGCCUAAGCAGGCGCUUCAGACGCUUUAGUGUCUAAGGCGGACGCCUUAGACACAUGUCUAAAGCGAGUUGGACGCUUUGAGCCUGGAGGGCGCUCUAACGCUUAAGCGUCGCUUAAGCGACGCUUUAGGGACGCUUUACAAACAGAGGUAUCAGGCGUAAUGAGAAGAUUGUGUGCUACAUGACUAUAAGGGUUGAGAAGGCGAUGCAGCUGCUGGAGAGUGGCCUGAAGGUGAAGGAGUACGAGCUGCUCAGGAGGAACUUCAGCGACACCGGAUGCUUUGGCUUCAGUAUCCAGAGCACAUCGAUCUCGGUGUGAAGUAAGUUGAAUUGGUGGCAACCCUUGUGUCAGUGAGGUGCUUGUUUGGACUGGUUAAUACUUAUUAUUCUGUUUCAUUAGUAAAUAGCUGAAACCAAAAUCAUAGAGCAGAAAUAUAUUUGGUUGAACUGCUCUUUCAUUGUACCACCAAAUACUGAAGUUUGGGGUGGGUGAAAUCUUAGGCUUUAUCCUUCAGGUUUAGCUUGUUAUGAAAAUUUAUUUACUUGUCAUGUAUUGUACGCCUGCCUUUCUUUGGCUUCCUGAAAUCACAUUUUGUUUGGCAGGGGCCAACUUUAAUUUGCUCAUCACAAACAAUUCAAAAAAUUGUACGUAUGUGCAGCUUGCUGAAACUUUGACUGAAUCUAGUUGGAUCUUCAGUUUCUUGUAUCUAUGAACAAAUAUGCAUCACUUUUUUUUCUUUUUGGUUCGAGCAAACUCAAGAGUCCUUUCUAAAACUGUAGCCAAGUUGUACCGCCUGCUACUUGAAAAAUAAAGAUGAAUGAAUUGUUUCUCCUGCUCAACUCUUUCCUCUCUGUCUGUGUACGACAGUAGCAUUCAUGCACCAAGCCCAGAACCUGAAUAUUUUGUUUGGCUGCUAGUAAACCAGGAUGUACUCUUUCCAAGUGCAAGUUGGAUAGAACCUGCAAUUUAGUGCAGAGGCAUAUAUGGAUUCUGGUUCAAUUCGUAUGUAUGUUUGUAUGUGCAUGCUUAUGUCUUUGACUAAAACUAGUUAAUUCAUUGGUCUACCUUGAAGGUGACCAGUCCCUAGCUGCGCGCUUUGGUCGGUCCUGCUAAUUUCAGUUCCUAUGAUUUUUAAUCUCCAUUUUCUGUUUCCCCAGCUACCAAGACUCUUGAGUUUGUGGUGAUGGCAGCUAACACGGAGCCGAUCGGAAUCUCCCCCACCCCCUGUUGCUCCCUGAUAAUAACAAGGUAGAAAUACUGUUUGUAUGAUGCAUCAUAUAUAGUACUGCUAAUUAGUUUGUACUAGUCGCCAACCCGUGCAUUCGCACGGGCUAGUUUGAUAAGCUAUAUUAUAAAAUAUGGGAUGCAAUUGUGGAGAGUAUUUUUAUUUGCCUGGGGUAAUGAAAUUGAAGAGUCACGCAAUUUCCAUUGGAAAAGUAACAUCUUGUCUUACCAUUGAUAAUGGUAUAUGAAAUGAAGCAUAUAUUAAAUUCUCUCCCUUUAGAUAAGAAGUCAAACUACUUAAAGAACUUGAUAACGGUAUAUAAUGCCUUCAUAUUAUUGAAAAUUUUAGAAUAAUGAAAAUAAAUUUUUCUUCUUAUUAUCCUUUCACAUAUCACCUAUUCUGACCAGUCUCUAGAGAAACUAAGCAAUUUAUUUUAGAUAGAUAAUGAGACAUCCUCACAAAAUCAACCAACAAAAACAGUUUGAUGUUGAAAUUUUACUUUUCAAAAGAGAAUAGUUUCGAUGCAAACAUUAGAUACCAUUUACUACGUUAGCUACUUUUCUUGUUCCUCCUUUUGUCACAUAAAAUACAUAAGCCUAAUCUCCAACGGAUAUAUCACAAACUACAAAAAUCGUGCAUAGAGGAAAUAGUCAUGUCAUCGAGUGGUUGCACUUUAGUGCAUCCCUUUGGUUCCGUAUUGCCCUAAACAUGUCCUAUAUUAGUCAUUUCGUAAAAUUAAAAUGCCAAACUGUAUUAUUUUAAGAUACGUUCAAAAGUAAAAUGGUGUUGGCUCUUUCUUGAAUUCAGGUCAAUUUUGGUUAAUUGCAUAUACGGAAUUAAAAUAGAUAUUAUUUGGUGCGUACCGAGUCCAAACCAAAAUUUGAAUCAAUAGGAUAUUUACCGAAAUAAGUCCAAACCAAAAUUUGAAUCAAUAGGAUAUUUACCGAAAUACCAAUUCGAUAUUACAAAAACAAUAAUUUCUGGCAUGCACACGCCUCAUAUCCAUUAUCUGUCACCCUAUAUAUUCUAAAUAUACUAAACCUAGCUAGGUUUGAUUUACCCUGUUUUUUUGACUUUUUCUUAUCAGUGAAAACUUGACCAAUGAGAGGCUGACACGUCAAUUACUGGGGGAAAUUGUGGGGUAAGCCUUGGGUGCACUUAGCGAUUUGUGUCGAUGGCGAUUGCGGAUUGGUUUUCUCUUCUCCUCUCAGUUCCCUCCGCGUGUCGAUGCGUCUCUCGAAGACUCGCGUGGGCUCUCUGCCUCCGCCGCCCACCGCUCAACCGCCGAUGCACCACCGCUCAACCGCUGUAUCUCCUUAUAAAAUGGCUCCCGCCCCUCAAGCUUGCUCCAACGCCCAUGCCCAUCACGCAGCGCCCACACGCUCCAGCAGAUCCAGACGAUGUGAUGCUGGCGGUCGGCGAGGCCUCCUCGGCGCGCGGUUUGGUUCGCAGCGAACAGUGAAGCAGAGCUGCGCGGCGAUGGCGACGACCAGCGCAGGGCACGGGCGACACCGCGACAACAAGCACAAGGCCAUGGAGGGGCUCACGCAGCGCGCGGCGGUGCGCGGCUAGGCGGACCUCACGCUGCGGCGGCGGCAGGUGCGUGCUAGCCGUGGCCAUGAGAGGGGGCUUGCGGCGUGACUGUGGCAUGCGGCAGUGGGGAUCUCCCCAACCUCUCCUACCCCCCUUCUGAUGUGGGGAACCAUGGAUUGCCGAUUUUUUGCUGAAUCUUUAGUCGUGUGGAAAUGGCGUUUUGGCUGGGACGUGACGGUGCGGCCACCGGCGCCCUGCGUCCUCCACCGGUGUCGCAUGCUCAUGCCCCUGCCCCCUUCCUUCGGCCGUCCAGACUGCCUCCGUCUCAGCCGGUGGAUGUCCAUAUGCCGGAUAACGAGUGUAGCGGCGAUCACGGUCUGUCCUGCUCCGACAGUCCUCUGUCACUUCUUCCGCUGGCUUACUACUAAUGCAGGUGGAGUUCAACAUGGAAGAGCAUGGCCCAAGCAUCAUUCUGGGCGUAGCUGCCCACCUCUAUGUGACGACUGCUCCAAGGCAGACCAAGUGUUCGUCGUAAUGUCAGAGCGGCCACAGUGAUGAUCUUCGAGGUCUGUGUAGUGCCGGAAGACAGCGACCAGUAGCGGGCGCUCGCGCACUGCUUCUGGGAUGACACAGUCAGGACUAAUAAGGAUGAGGAUCAUGUUCAUAUUUCCAGUGGGUUCGUUCCAGUGGUAUGGACGCGGCGAGGCAAUUUAUAAAGUUUGCCAGAGCAGUCACUGCGUACUAUCCCACACUCUAUCGACGGACCACCUUCUUCCACGCCGACGCCGGUCGCCGGGGUAUGGUCAUCCAUCGCCAUGCAAGAGCGCUCUAAUCCCCUAGACAGUACUGCUCACAGCAGUUGCAGGCGCGAACGCAUUGCCCUCAGCCGUGGAUGCCACUGUCCCGAACCAAGGAUGUGCAGGCAUGUUUUAGAUUAUGAUUGUGCAAAGGAAUAUGUUAGAAAAUGACGGUCUGCAAUGGUGUACCAAAAUAUUGAACAUCUUCUGAUUUUACUGGAAGAUUGAUGUGGACAUUGAAGUUAUUGCACUGGCAGCUGAUUUUUUUCCCUUCACAUUUUUGAAGACUGAAUUUUCAGCAGCACUGCACCAUUAAUUGGCUUUCUGCAUGUGACUUGUGAUUGCAGCUGAUGAAGCCGUCAACCGUUGGAGGCAUGGAAUUGUCGAGCCCAAGGUUCGUCACCCUUGUUUUCUAAAGGGAAGCUAAAGUUGGGGUUGCCAAUCUCCGAGGAUUUUCUCAACGGUGAGCACUUCCCUUUUGUUUCUCUUGUUCUGAUCUUUACCACAAGUCGGCAAUAGUCCCUAUUGCACUUCUUGGAUUGAUCUCUCAUUUUAGUCACUACUGUUAUUUAAUAUAAUAAUAAGCCUCUAUUUUUUAUUCCGCAUGCAGUAUUGUUUGCUUACACGAACAAGAUUUCUAAGUUGUUAUAUAUUAAUGUGGUGAUAGGUUGAAAAGUUUGAUCACUGAGGAAUGGGGAUUACAGUCACAGAUUAUUAUUCGGUUAUUCCUCUUGCUGGUGCCUCCGCUGAAAGUUAUGCAUCUAUAUACAACCAUAUAUAUAAGUUUGCCUCUUCAAUCAGAAGAUUGUAUUAGCUAUUCAAUUCAUAGUUCAACCUUUGAAUAUACAGUUUUGGCUGAGUAGUUUGAGCCUCCGUUGUGCAACUGGAUCAUGGUACACAUCCAGACCUGCAGCUGUGUUUUAUUUUAUUAUCCUUUUUAGAAACUGACACGCUGCCUUCGUUGCCUAAACCCGUGCUUUAAUUAAAUGAUAAAUUUACUAUAAAGAUUUUUUUCUUUGACUCUUAUAUGAAAAAAUUGUACGAACAUGUGAUUGCUAUCCAGAUUAGUCAGGUCAUCCUGCAAAUAACUGUGGGAUACAUUACUGAUACUUACUCAAUCAUUGUAGUGAAAUAAUACAAGAUGGUGAACACCUCGGAUGCAGCUCAAAGGUCAAAUAUCAUGAUAUAGAGUAGGCAUUAAACCUAUCUUAUCUACUUAAUUUUUUGUUGCAGACUAAUCGUCUAUCUUAUCCGUACAUGGCUGAUUAGGAAGUAGUACAGUACCCGCAUGUUUAAUAGUUAUCAGAUUAUUUCUGUACAUAGUUGAUUUGUGUAUUGAGACGGGAGGCCAAGUUGUUCAAUUUGUGGAUUUGAUUUAUUCAGACUGGUGGCAUUCCUUAAUUUCUGAUUCCUGUUUAUGUUUGGUUUUGAGCUGUAAAUUAUUUAUUCUGGCACAUCUAACGGCUGCUUCUUUUGUCUAGCCUUCUUUCAAUGAAAUAUUUCCAGUCAGUAGACUAUACUUGCUAUUCCAAUCACAUACAGGCCUAGGGUUGUCCACUAAGAGAAGGUGCAACAAAUUCACUUGGUUUGUGAAUAUCCUUAAUAUAAGCUAGCAACUUUUCAUAUAUAUGCCAGGUUGUCUUCAAGCCAUAGAAGCACUAUCGAGCCCUGGAGCUGUGGCGACAGUGCCGUCCCAGCCACCGGCGUCCUCUUCCAUGCCAUGGCCAUCCAGGAGGAGUGCCACGGCUAUCGCAGUUCUCCCCAUGCCAUCCUCCUGGAUGUUGAUCGUGUCCUUGCACCGGCGGCAGCUGGAGCCUGGUACGUCCAGAGAGGCAUGGCCUUGGAUUGGAGCAUUGCAGUCAUCGAUCCACUUCGUGGUAGUCAUGGGGUAGGGUGGCGUAGAACUCAGCCCCGUGAGCUGCAGUUCACCAGUUCAUUCCUCAGCUGUAAGCCCAGCAAGAAGGAAAAUGGUUUGUGCUAUAUAUACGACUGAACUGGACAAUCACAUAGAAGGUAGAUAUUUGCACAUCUGAUUUCUUUUGUGUAGUCUGGGUACUCUUUCCCAUGGUGUUAAAAAAUAUAUAUGUUUGUGAAGUUGUAUGACUUAGUGAUUUUGUAGCACACUAAGUUGACCCAAACUGGCUUGAAUUUGUUGGUUAUUUGGCCUUGCCUGAACACGGUUGGUGAAAGCAGCAGUGCUUGCUUUGAUUUUUUUUUGUUCAGUUAAAUCAUUCACAUGAGUAUCUCAAUUUAAUUAACAGUGUAAGUUGAUUGUGAGGCUGUGUAUUUUUUGUUGAAGAAGAAAGUACCACC
rnacentral:rRNA from 1 species